UAGGGAAUCUUGCGCAAUGGGCGAAAGCCUGACGCAGCAACGCCGCGUGAGCGAAGACGGCCUUCGGGUUGUAAAGCUCUGUCAGGAGGGACGAAGCCACUCGGGUGAACAGCCCAGAGGGUGACGGUACCUCCACAGGAAGCCCCGGCUAACUACGUGCCAGCAGCCGCGGUAAUACGUAGGGGGCGAGCGUUGUCCGGAAUCAUUGGGCGUAAAGCGCGUGUAGGCGGCCGACCAAGUCCGGUGUGAAAGCUCAGGGCUCAACCCUGAGUCUGCACUGGAAACUGGCCGGCUUGAGUCCGGAAGAGGAGACUGGAAUUCCUGGUGUAGCGGUGAAAUGCGCAGAUAUCAGGAAGAACACCGGUGGCGAAGGCGGGUCUCUGGGACGGUACUGACGCUGAGACGCGAAAGCGUGGGGAGCAAACAG
rnacentral:rRNA from 1 species